AUUGAACGCUGGCGGCAGGCCUACCACAUGCAAGUCGAACGAGUGGCGGACGGGUGAGUAAUGUCUGGGAAACUGCCUGAUGGAGGGGGAUAACUACUGGAAACGGUAGCUAAUACCGCAUACCAUCAGAUGUGCCCAGAUGGGAUUAGCUAGUUGGUGGGGUAACGGCUCACCAAGGCGACGAUCCCUAGCUGGUCUGAGAGGAUGACCAGCCACACUGGAAAUGAGACACGGUCCAGAGUCCUACGGGAGGCAGCAGGGGGGAAUAUGGCACAAUGGGCGCAAGCCUGAUGCAGCCAUGCCGCGUGUAUGAAGAAGGCCUGCGGGUUGUAAAGUACUUUCAGCGGGGAGGCGUUACCCGCAGAAGAAGCACCGGCUAACUCCGUGCCAGCCGCCGCGGUAACAC
rnacentral:rRNA from 1 species